rnacentral:rRNA from 1 species
AGUGAACGCUGGCGGUAGGCCUAACACAUGCAAGUCGAACGGCAGCACAGUAAGAGCUUGCUCUUACGGGUGGCGAGUGGCGGACGGGUGAGGAAUACAUCGGAAUCUACUUUUUCGUGGGGGAUAACGUAGGGAAACUUACGCUAAUACCGCAUACGACCUACGGGUGAAAGCAGUGGAUCUUCGGACCUUGCGCGAUUGAAUGAGCCGAUGUCGGAUUAGCUAGUUGGCGGGGUAAAGGCCCACCAAGGCGACGAUCCGUAGCUGGUCUGAGAGGAUGAUCAGCCACACUGGAACUGAGACACGGUCCAGACUCCUACGGGAGGCAGCAGUGGGGAAUAUUGGACAGUGGGCGCAAGCCUGAGCCAGCCAUACCGCGUGGGUGAAGAAGGCCUUCGGGUUGUAAAGCCCUUUUGUUGGGAAAGAAAAGCAGCAGGUUAAUACCCCGCUGUUCUGACGGUACCCAAGAAUAAGCACCGGCUAACUUCGUG